CGUGCAGGAUAUUGAAUUCAUAUCCUGAACUACUGUUGACCAGACAAACCAAAGCUCAUGCCCUGAGAAUGGUGGGCUGUCCAGAACAUGGAGCUAGUUACCUGCUCACUAUGACUAAUCAUUAAAGACUGAUAACUUGCUGUCCUUGGAAACUCUUUCUCGUGACCUUACAUCAUGAAAAUUCACCUUGCCUUAAAGAGGAAGUGAACCCCCCUGACCAGGAUGCUAUUAAAUCAAUUGGAGAAAAAGGAAUUCUUAUUAACAAGUAUAAAUGUCGCCUGAAUCUGAAGAGCAGCCCACCCAUGUUCAUCUUUAGUUUGUGACGCUGACGUCAACAGUGGCAGUUGCAUGUUAACCCAGUGC